GAUGAACGCUAGCGGCAGGCUUAAUACAUGCAAGUCGAGGGGCAGCACGGUUAGCAAUAACUGGUGGCGACCGGCGCACGGGUGCGUAACACGUAUACAAUCUACCUUAAACAGGGGGAUAGCCUUUCGAAAGAGAGAUUAAUACCCCGUAAUAAAUUGAACGGCAUCGUUUGAUUUUGAAAGCUCCGGCGGUUUGAGAUGAGUAUGCGUCUGAUUAGCUAGUUGGUGAGGUAACGGCUCACCAAGGCGACGAUCAGUAGGGGAUCUGAGAGGACUAACCCCCACACUGGUACUGAGACACGGACCAGAUUCCUACGGGAGGCAGCAGUAAGGAAUAUUGGUCAAUGGAGGCAACUCUGAACCAGCCAUGCCGCGUGCAGGAUGACGGCCCUAUGGGUUGUAAACUGCUUUUAUACAAGAGAAAACCCUGGUACGUGUACCAGGUUGAUAGUAUUGUAAGAAUAAGCAUCGGCUAACUUCGUGCCAGCAGCCGCGGU
rnacentral:rRNA from 1 species